UUCCAGGUAGCUUAAUGGUAAAGCACCCAACUGGCAAUUGCGGGAUCUGGGUUCAAGUCUCAGCUUGGGCU
rnacentral:tRNA from 1 species